ensembl:lncRNA
GGGGUCUGCAUAAGGAGUAUACAAAUAAUGGUAGUUUUCUUCUCCUCCCUUCCCUACUUUCCUGAGAGAACUGAAGUUUGAGAGUAGAAGGCAUGCCCUUAGGUGGGAACAAGGUGAUUAUCUUGGAUCAGUAGAAGUUUCUACCUAAGUUCUCAGGAUUAACACCAGUGAAAAAUGGAGGAUAGCUCUUGUAGAUGUUGCUGGUGAAAGAGGUGAGACCGUACAGCUCCAAACAUUGGCUGUUUCCAGGAGCACAUCUCUGCUGCCAUUUCUGAGUCAUGAUUAUAGAAAACCUCUGUAAGAGCUUGGAUGUACCACCAGCACUUGACGUGCAGCAGAUAAACUUGCAUAAGAAAGACCUGGUAAUGUCGAUAGUGAUGACAGCAAAUCAACCUUCCAUGUCGGCAUAGGGCUGAAACCAAAGAUAAAUCUACAAGAAGAGACUUCUAUGUUGAUGCCACCUCUGCAUCACCUUGGGGCCUUUCCUUGCUCCCCAGGAGCCUCAGCAAUUAUUCCUAGCACAAGGAAUUAAAGGUUGACUCUUCUAAAAGAAAGAACAGAUUUUCAUUGGAAGGGAAAAGAAAAAGAGGAAGAAAAAUGUGACUACAGAUGUACCGGUUGUAUUCAGGAGAAGUGAGGCUUAGCAGAAGCUGCUUGGCAGGAAUGGUGCUAUAAAACCCCACAUGGUCAUGAGUUGCUCCCGGAAACCAGGCAGCUGUCUAUCCAGGACAGCAUGAAAUGAAACAGGAAAGGAAGGUUCUUCUAAGGAGGCUUUCACAGUACAGUCACUCCUGGAAGGUUCUCCACCAGCCUCAAACUUGUGAAGCAGAGGAUGAAGUCCCAGACACUGGCAUCAGAAAGAAAAGCCUCUUGGCUGAAGAGCACAAUGGUGGAGUAGAAGCAAGAGGACAUCCUCUGGUCAUGCGGGAAGCUCUCAUGUCUACACAGCCUGAAUCCUCACCAUGAAAAGCUUUGAGGAGAAAGGGAGAGACUGGGGCAGAGAAAAAUGGACACAGCCUCCCAUGAGUACAGCAAAUGCCUCCACAGACUCUUUCAAAGCUCCAUAUUCACUGAUAUACACUCAGCGUCCCUCUUUUGUAUGACCUCUUGAAGUUAUCCCCACUUUGAUUUUCCGUGAUCAUAACCCAAACUUUUCCUUCUUUCUUUCUUUUUUUUUUUUUUUGUUGUUUUGUUUUGGUUUUGUUUUGUUUUUGGUUUCUUUGUGGAGUGAAAAGGAGGCUGACCUUCUUAAAACAGAGGAACAUUUCAGAGUUAUCCAACACAUGAAAUUAUACUUCCAAAAAUCAGAGAUGUUCUCCAGUACUCAUUAAAGCUAGCCAGAAAUGGAACUAAUAUAAACCUUGGCCAUUCUCCCAGCUGAGUGCCCUAAUAAUAGAAAUGCCCCUCUGACUGAGUAGCUGAUACUGGGGUUCUGCCAAGUCAUUUCCAUUAAAAAGAGCCAUUGGUGACAGACGUCCAGUACAAUAUCAUUGGUGGAGUCCUGCUUGUCUUUCUUAGUGCACCACUGGCAUGAGCAAGAAAAAGUCCAUUUUCCAUGUCCUGUUUUCAGUUCUCUUUCUGUAAUUAGCACUUUCCUGAUGUCUCUGCUCUUCAUGAGGUCUCUCCAAAGCCUGCUUCUCUUUACUUUCUGGUUAUGGUAUGUGCACAAACGCUACAAAUAAAUUCACCCUCUCACCCUUGCAGCAGCUUGUAGAAAGCCUUCCAAGCCAAUGUAACUGAGUUGGGGAGCAGUGCUGUGUGCAACCCAUUGCUGGUGGGUCAAUUUUUUCUAUCUCUAUUAUUUUACAAGGGUCACUUCUUCCAUCUAGCCUGAAGGAAGAAUUGCUAGUGAAAUUGAGGGAAGCUAUUAAACCUAUCAGGUUGCAGUGGCUAGAGAUGAGAGAUAUGCACAAAGAGGCCACAAAAGCCACUGUUGCUUGGCCAUAUGGCCAUUUAGCCACUGUUAGAAAACACCACUGUAAAGGCUCCAGAAACAUCUAAAAAGUGAUUUGCACAAGCUAUGAUAACAGUAUUCAAACAGCUGUAAUGUAUCUCAUCUUGAACUACUCCAAGGACCAACACUGUUUGCAUCUUAAUCUAGAUACUCUUGGACCUGUCCUUUUCUACAAGGCAAGAUUUCUUGUUCUUCAUAGGACACCUACGAAGUUGGGUGGCUUUUCCAGGCAUUGGUGUCAUAGGAAAUCUCCUUGGCCAUGUCUGGGGUUUUUGGAACCUGUCUGUGUCAUUGUGGCUCCUUUGCCAGCAAAAAGUGCAGGGAAAGGCUGAAGAGCUCAUCAUUCAUCUUUUUCCUUCUGUCUUAUAAAUAUUAGCUCAGAUUUUAACUUGCAGAAGAGAAGUACCUCAAUAGUUCUCCCAAUCACAUUUUAUGCCAGACUCUUCUGAUAUGACCUUAUCAGAGAUCACUGGGCAGAAUGCCUGCUUAACAAAACUCACUGCAGAUACAUCUGAGUGCUGCCAUUUGCAGGAUACCAGAUCCAUGCCUCGGCUGUUUCAGAUGACAUACAUAUUUAAUCCGUGGCAGUAUAUUAGCAGAUCAGACUUAGAUUAAUCAGGCUGAAGGUAACUUUUGGAUCUUUUCCACAAUUAGGUCAGAGAUAAAUAUGGUAGAUUGUUAUGUGCCACAACACAAGCAAGCACUGGGCAGCAGGUGAAAUUGUCAGGGACAUCAGCCAAAGAGAUACUGUGAUGAGAUUAAGGGAAGUGAAGUCAAUAGCAUCUUUGUGUAUCUUCAUGUGUGUGCACAGAUGUGAUUUGAGCUUUUCAAUUUAAAGAAGCCGCUAAUUAACACUGAAUUUUUCUCUGCUGUUAUAGCAGUGAACGUACAAAUGUGCUUUAUGCUAAAAUAUCCUUUUCUAUUUCCUUAGUGUUGUAAAAUAGGUCCUGCCCACUGAUACUGAUAGAGAAAGCUGGAGCUAGAAUAGCAACACAGCUGUUCAAAACCAAGGGGAAGUCCUUAUUUUUGAGGCUCAGUAAUGAUUGAAAUACAGUCAGCAAACAAAAGGGAAUUAGUACCUUUAAAAUGCAUUUAGGGUGUCCAAUAUAAAAUGUGACAGUGGAUAUUUGUGGGACAAUUUUCUGCAAAUUAAAAAUUGAGCUAAGGGUAAUAAAUCAAAGGAAAUAUUUAAAAGCUCUCUAGCCUUUACCAGUACCCCUUGGAAAGGGCUUCUAAAGUACUAUUCUACACACACAUUCUGAUGAGAGAAAAUUUUGAUUAAAAUAUUAAAAUGUUUUUGGGAUUUUUUUCAUUUUUAUGCUCACUUAUUGCACUUGUAACACCAGGAGGGCAAGUGGUGAUACCUUCAUUACAGUAAUUCAAGGAAAAGAAGUCAGUGGACUCCAAAGUGAAAAGCAAAUGUGCUGUAACAGUGGAAAGCUAAGAUGCAGCUGAGAUCUUGCCCACAGUGAAGCUUCCUAAAGGAUUCUUCACCUUCAAACUGCAAUGGUUAGGAUUACAUCAGUACAGAGGUCAGUACAGUACAAAAGUUUUUACUUGAGUUGCAAUAAGAAAAAGAAAAAAAGAGAGAGAGAGAUGUAUAUAUACGUACACAUAUUUUUUCUUUGUUUCUUUCAUGGGUUAGUGGAAAAUUCUGAUAUUCUUCCAAGCAGGGGACAUGCUUUCAGGGUCCUAUAGCAUUGCAUGUGAUACACAUGAAAGGGGAACUCAGCUUCCCUGUGGCAGGUAGCUCUUCCAGAUAAUAGCUUUUUUAAGCUAAUGCCUUGGUAAUAGCCCAUCUCCUUAACCAUCCUCUGAAGAGUAUCAUUGGCAAGUACAAUUAGGUCCCACACUUCUCUCAGAAGAUGGAUCCCACUAGCUUAUUACAGGAAAAAUAUACUCACUCUCCUUUUUCAAAGGUUAACUAGCUCAUCACAGAUAUUUAUCAAUUCUGUUCUUGUUGGCCUCUCCCAAAAGCAGCAAUCCAUGUCUGUCCUUCAUACUUCAAGCAAUGGUCUAGAGGACACCUUUCUCCACACAGUGGCAGUCUUCUUACAGACUCUCAAACCUCUUCACACCAUUUCUGGCUGCCAAUGCAGAGAGAGGAGGUAGUAGUGUCUCCAAUGUGAAAUAAAUGUCUAGUGCUCACAUUCUCUCAGUGGAAAAUGCUUGCUAGAGGCUCAGUCUGGCUCUACAUGCAACAUUCUUAUUUGGAGCUUGCGUCCUAUCAGGCAUUUUGCAGUAGGAUCUUCAAUUUUAUUAGCAGGACUGUACCCAGGAGACAAGAGCGAAAUUAUUCUGUAAAUAUGUAUUUUAGAAUUGAUUCUUCUUUGAUGAGUUUUCGUCCUUCCCAUUAGUCUUAUCUGGAGGGGAUUCUGCUCCUGGCCCCACCACUGCUUUGCUUUUGGCUGUUUCUUGGCCGUUUCUUGGCCAUUUCUCAUCCCUGAGAGUGACCUUUCUCCCAUUCCCCUUGACAGGUCUUGCUCAAGGAUGCUGUGCUGAGUUGUUGUGUACACUGACUGGGUCUUUUCCCAACCUGCUCCUUGACAGCACUCUGGAGCUCCCCACUGAACACCUGGCGGUGGGAUAGGCUGUGUGUGCUGGUAAAAUUAUCUUUGAGCUGUCACCUACAGCAUGCUUAGAUUCAGAAUAUGCUGCAAGCCUCAGAGGCCUUCUGAAUGGCAUAUCCUAGGUUUGGUCCUCAGGAGCACCAUGAAAAUCACCCUUGUACGUGUGGCCCUCCUCCCACACCAAACAUUAGUGGUGCCUCCUCCUUUCUCUGCUCUCACUGCCCCACUCUGGAGCCACGGUGUUCUGCGUAAUGACCAUUAAAGUUGUUUUUCUAGGGCAUAUCCAGAUUGCUCUGGAUUGCUCCGUCUCAGGGGCCGUGCAAGGCAGACAAAGGGCACUUGAAGCUCAAAGAAGGGAAUUUCCCAGGACCAAAAGUGCAAAGAUGGCAUUGAUUCUGCUACAGUGUUGUGAAGAUUAGCAUUCUGAGUCACCUGGGGGAAAAUGAAUCCAUUUUCCCUGGUUCCAUUCUAAUUCAUUUGCCAAAGAAAAGGCAAAACAGAAAUCUGUGGAACUUUCACCUUUGUGUCAAUGCACUGUCACUAAGAGCUACUAAAGAACAUAUUCCCCCUCCGGGCCCUCUGAGGUCACAUAGUUUUUCACAGAUAGCGGAAAGAGGAGCAAUGGCUCCAGCUGCCACCAUCCUAGCACUUUGCUAAAAGUCAGAUUCAGACUUUUUAGUUAGCUGAAAAGGCUGUGGUUUUGAAUCAGUUAUAUAGCUGUUCAGAUGACUAGAGAGCAUUUUAUAUUAUUUGUAUCAGUAAAAAUGUAGUGUUUAGCACAAGUAAAAUGCUGUCAGGAUCCCCAGAAUUAACUUCUUUUUCAUUAAUACUGCCUCACAGGCUUUCUCCAUAGCAAGAACAUUAAUUGAGCACUUUCGUUUCAGUGGGAACUCACAGAACUGAACGCAUGCUUUUCACAAAGUCAGUUUUCUUAAUUAUUAUUUGAGAUGCUUGUUUUGACUCAAAUUUCUAUUCUUCCUUAGAGGAUGCUGAAGAGAACUAAUCCACUCUGAAUAUUUUCCCUCCCAGAUUAUUUCUGCUACUUAGCAUUGGAAACUUAUCCUUCAUCAGGGACUGAUCUGGAAGCUGGUGAAGUCAGUGAAGCCCUUUUUAUAAUUUUUUUUCUUCUGAUUUCCAUGAGCACUGCAUUGGAAUUAGAAGCAAACUGGCUAUAUAAGUUUGUCUGGAACUGGUGAAACUGCUCUUGUUCUGCAGCUUAGCCCUAAAUGUGAUGACAUUUCACAUUUUCCAUGCAAAAGUAGGAGAAGUAUCUUCAAAUUGCAUAAAUAUCUUCCUUUUCUCUUCCUGUCAAGCCAGAGAAGAUUAAUUUUUAAAGUAAAAUCUGUAGGGGGCAUUUAUGGAGAAAGUGUGACUGCUCAGAUUACUCUUCUAGGCAGGAGUUCCUUCAGGCAGCUUUGGUUUUGGCUUUCCAGUUCUCAAAAGAAGUUUAAGACAUGAACUUCUAUGUUGAAAAGCAUUAGAAUAAAUUACCUUGAAGGCCUGGAAGAAGCUGUUAUUUUUUAAGAUAUUGGAUUAUAGAUAAUGAAAAUAAAUAGAUUCAUUAAAAUAUUUCCAUGCUACUUUAUGUAAUGCUGAUCUCAUCCUAUAGCUUUUGUUUCUUUGUACCUUGCUGUUUUCUAAUUUUAAAGAAUAAGGAUUAGAGAGCUCUACAUAUUCUCUUUAUGCCCACACAUUAAAUUUAUUCUCUCUGUAUUUAGAAAUAUAUUUCUAAACAUAGAAAUGUAAAUAUUGUGCUGAGUCAGAUCUUCUGACUAUAUUCAUGAAUCGUAGGAUCAUAGAAUCAUUUCAAUUGGAAGGAUCCCUUUACGGUCACCUAGUCCAACUCCCUUCAAUGAACAGGGAUACCUACAGCUACAUCUGGGUCCUCAGAGCCCAACCAGCCUGACCUCGAGUGUCUCCAGGGAUGGGGCAUCCAUCACCUCUCUGGGCAACCUGUGCCAGUGCUUCACCAAUAUUAUAAAAAACUUCUCCCUUACAUCCAAACUAAACCUCCUGUCUUUUAGUUUGAAACCAUUUCUCCUUGUCCUAUAACCACAGACCCUGCUAAAGAGUCUGUCCCCUUUCUUCUUAUAGCCUCCCUUUAGAUACUGAAAGGAAAUGUGACUUCAGGUGAUGCAGAACCCUGUUGCUGAGGUUAGGAUACCACUUCAGCACAGUGAGAGUCCUUUGCAGGAAAUGCCAAUGUCUGCAAUCUCACAGAUUACUUCCACAUUCCUCUAGAAUGUUUUCAGUAACAUUACUUAUUUAACGCUGUAAGUUUUGGCUGCUGCCUCACCUUUUCUCAGCAGCUCCUGGGCCACCAAUGUCAAUAACAGGUUUGAAAAAAGAUGAAGGGCUCUAGCAGUUCAGCCUGCAGUAGCUAAAUAUAAUUUUCCCAUCAGUUCUUUCCUAUUGCCUAUUUCCUACUGCAUCUCAUGCUGGGGAAGAAGUGAAGCAGGGUGAGAAAGUCACAGUGCCUGUGGAGGAGUGGGGUUGGCCUUUACUCCUCACUUCUGCAGCAGGAGAAAAAAAUCUGUCCCCAGAGGCAUCAUAUAUCCCUGGAUUUCCCGCCCCCACCCCCCCCCCUCCAACAGUUAUAAAUUGUCAGUAACUCAUGUGAGACUCUAAAAGCUUCUAUUGCUAUAACACCUAUGACCUAUGAUUCAGAGCAUCAUAAGUGAUGGCUCUGUAGCCUGAAAAAAUAUGGAGAAAAAGUACUGAGAAGCAAAAAGAGAUCUCUCAUGUUGCACAUUUUUGACACUUUCCUCCUAUGGCAAUGAGAUUUUUCUUAAGGAUUCUUUUUAUUGACUUGGCUUUAUCAUAGUGCAUGACAGCAUCUAUCCAGUGAGAGAUGACUUAACCUUUCUCCUCAAGUACUGAACCAGUCAGGUCCAGCCAGUCACAACAGGAUGCCAAAGACCUGACCUGAUGCUACACUCUUGAAGACCCACUUUAAAGACAUGUUUUCUUGAUAAAUUAGAAGUCAUUAUAAUUGUUUUACAGUUAAAUGUGAGUAGUUUAAAUGCCUCAGGGCUUCAUUUUGUCUUACUAGCUAGAAUUUUGUCCUGCAGCUUUGCCAAUAUGUCUGCACACUCUUUAGAAUUAAUCCUGGAUCUCCCUCCUUCCAUCCUACUGUAUUUCCAACUUCACAGAGUCUAUUUGUUUGGGACUUAUUUUCUAAGCCAUUAUUUUUCCUCUUACAUUAGUGUCUUGAAAUGGAACUACUCCACUGUUUUAAUCUACUACUUCUCUGAGUGCAAUAUGACUGCUUCAGUCCUUACUUCUCUGAUAAAUCUGCUGAGCAUUCAUUCAGGAAAGCUGUGUCCUUCUGCAAGGCGACCUACCACUGUUAUCUGACUUUUUAUCUGAAGGCAGUUUCUCAGCCAGUUUACAUUUUCCUGGUGUCAGUCAUGCACUUUGAGGGAAGGUUCUCUGAUAUCAGCCUGAUAUCAAAUCCCCUCUGCGUGAGAUAGUUCACAGGACCAUUGCACAGCAUGCUGAGAACUCUUCUGUAUCAUGAUGAGUGUUAUCAGCAUACCUCAAACUUGAUCAGCAGAAUGUAUUCUAGCAAACUAUUUAGUUGAUGCUUAUAGCCAUGCACUGCAAAGUACACAUCUGGAUCCACAGUCUCAAAGACAUGAAGCAGGUUACGGCAAUUCAGUCACAAAUGUAAGUGACAGGGGUGUUUGCAGACACAAGGAGGGUAAGGGUAAUGUAUACAACAUUGGCUUUCUGCCAUAAAUUUACAUAACUGCUUGGGAAUUAACCUGUCAAGACUCCUGGAUUCCCUCCCUGGUCAUGGGAGGCACAACUGGUGGAAGAUGCUCAGGUUGGGCUCAGCCUUGCACAACUUGCGGAAUAUGUCACAUUCUAACUGCACUUUUGAGACACUCAUUGGCAUAAUCCCAGGGACAAGAACAC